CGUAGGUGGCAAGCGUUGUCCGGAAUUAUUGGGCGUAAAGCGCGCGCAGGCGGUUCCUUAAGUCUGAUGUGAAAGCCCCCGGCUCAACCGGGGAAGGUCAUUGGAAACUGGGGAACUUGAGUGCAGAAGAGAAGAGCGGAAUUCCACGUGUAGCGGUGAAAUGCGUAGAGAUGUGGAGGAACACCAGUGGCGAAGGCGGCUCUUUGGUCUGUAACUGACGCUGAGGCGCGAAAGCGUGGGGAGCAAACAGGAUUAGAUACCCCGGUAGUCCACGCCGUAAACGAUGAGUGCUAAGUGUUAGAGGGUUUCCGCCCUUUAGUGCUGCAGCUAACGCAUUAAGCACUCCGCCUGGGGAGUACGGCCGCAAGGCUG
rnacentral:rRNA from 1 species